GAUAGAUAGAUAGAUAGAUAGAUAGAUGUCAUUCACUUAGCUUUAGACUGCACAGGCUGUCCUUUAUAUCCAUGCAGUCCCACCCCACAGAUAUAGGGGACAGUCUCGUCUUUUCAGGCAGACAGCAGACAGGAUCACACACACACUCACUGCCUGCUCACACAAGCCACGCACUCAGCCACACACAAUCACACACAGCCACACGCACACAGCCACACUUUCUCACUCCAUCCCGUACUUGUGUGCACCAUUAACACUGCUGCACACACAGCCUCACACAACCACACACUCACAGCCACAGAGCCCCAGAGUCAUCUUGUGGCACAGGCACACACAACCACGCUUGUGUGCAAAGUGGCAGACACAACCACACAUGCCUAGAAGCAAGUCUCUGGAUCCCUUCUGCAUCCCACAGAGGGGGCUCCCCUGCCGUGUUUGAUUGGUUCUUCGAAGCGGCCUGCCCCGCCUCCCUGCAGGAGGAUCCCCCCAUCCUGCGGCAGUUCCCUCCAGACUUCAGGGACCAGGAAGCUAUGCAGAUGGUGCCUAAAUUCUGCUUCCCUUUUGAUGUGGAAAGGGAGCCCCCCAGCCCCGUCGUGCAGCAUUUCACCUUCGCCCUCACAGACCUUGCCGGCAACCGCAGAUUUGGUUUCUGCCGCCUGCGGGCGGGUACCCAGAGCUGUCUCUGCAUCCUCAGCCACUUGCCCUGGUUUGAGGUGUUUUACAAGCUACUGAACACAGUGGGAGACCUCCUAGCUCAGGACCAGGUCUCCGAGGCAGAGGAACUUCUUCAAAAUCUGUUUCAGCAGUCCCUGUCUGGGCCCCAGGCCUCAGUGGGGCUGGAACUGGGCAGCGGAGUGACCGUCUCCAGCGGGCAGGGUAUCCUGCCCCCUACCCCGGGAAAUAGCAAGCCGCUGUCCUGUUUCGUGGCCCCGGACUCCGGCCGCCUGCCAUCCAUCCCUGAGAACAGGAACCUAACGGAGCUGGUGGUGGCCGUGACUGACGAGAACAUCGUGGCGCUGUUCGCGGCGCUCCUGGCGGAGAGAAGAGUCCUGCUCACCGCUAGCAAACUCAGCACACUGACCUCGUGCGUCCACGCGUCCUGCGCGCUCCUGUACCCCAUGCGCUGGGAGCACGUGCUGAUCCCCACGCUGCCCCCACACCUGCUGGACUACUGCUGAUGCCCUCCUCUGCCAAGGACUCUCGGACUCUGAGCGGCCGGGCCCGCUUUUCCGCAGAGAGUACGAGAAAAAGCUCUGGAGGACGUCGUGGUGCUGAACGUCGACGCCAAUACUUUGGAGACAACAUUUAACGAUGUGCAGGCGCUGCCUCCAGACGUGGUGUCCCUGCUGAGGCUCCGACUCAGGAAGGUCGCCCUGGCCCCCGGGGAAGGGGUGUCCCGUCUCUUCCUCAAAGCCCAGGCCCUGCUCUUCGGAGGGUACCGCGAUGCACUCGUCUGCAGCCCGGGCCAGCCAGUGACCUUCAGUGAGGAAGCCUUCUUGGCCCAGAAGCCUGGGGCACCUCUGCAGGCCUUCCACCGGCGGGCUGUGCACCUGCAGCUGUUCAAACAGUUCAUCGAAGCCCGACUGGAGAAGCUCAACAAUGGGGAGGGCUUCUCAGAUCAAUUCGAGCAGGAGAUCACCGGCUGCGGGGCCUCCUCAGGGACCAUUCGAUCCUAUCAGCUCUGGGCAGACAAUCUAAAGAAAGGCGGUGGUGCCCUCCUGCACUCAGUCAAGGCCAAGACCCAACCAGCAGUCAAGAACAUGUACCGCUCGGCCAAGAGUGGCUUGAAGGGGGUGCAGAGCCUUCUAAUGUAUAAGGAUGGGGACUCUAUCCUGCAGAGGGGGGGCUCUCUGAGGGCCCCAGCCCUUAUCAGCCGCUCAGACCGCCUGCAGCAACGCCUCCCAAUCACUCGGCACUUUGGACAGAACCGGCCCCUUCGCCCCAGCAGGAGACGCCGGCUGGAAGAGGGACCUUCCGAGCCCCCAGGGGUGGGGACACCCCCUCUGAGUCCUGAGGAUGAGGGGUGCCCAUGGGCAGAAGAAGCUCUGGACAGCAGCUUCUUAGGGUCUGGAGAAGAACUGGAUUUGUUGAGCGAGAUUCUGGACAGUCUUAGCGUGGGAGCCAAGAGUGCAGGCAGCCUGAGACCGAGCCAGAGUUUAGACUGCUGUCACAGAGGAGACCUGGACAGCUGCUUCAGCCUGCCUAACAUACCAAGAUGGCAACCAGACGAUCAGAAACUACCAGAGCCAGAGCCUCAGCCCCUGUCCCUGCCAUCCCUGCAGAGCACCUCGUCUUUGGAUGCCACCAGCUCUUCAAAGGACCCCAGGUCCCAGCUAAUACCCUCAGAGUCCGACCAAGAAAUCAUCUCUCCAUCCCAGUCCUCAACAGCUUCUGCAGACCCAAGCAGCCGAGGGGACCCCGAACCCUCUCCUCUCACAGAGCCCCUAAUUCAUCUCGCCCCUUCCCACAAGGCAGCUGAAGAUUCUAGAACCCAGGAAAACCCCGCUUCCUGGCUCUCCACUGCACCCACUGAGCCCAGCCCUCCAGAAAGCCCCCAAAUUCUGGCCCCCACAAAGCCCAACUUUGAUAUAGCCUGGACGUCCCAGCCCCUCGGUCCUUCCUCAGACCCCAGUUCUCUGGAGGACCCCAGAGCCCAGUCUCCCAAGGCCCUGCUAGCAGAGCACGCUCACCUCCAGCCACUCGAGGAACCAGGAGCCCCGAAUUCCCCUGCUACACCCACCAGCAACUGGCAAAAGCUCCAGCCCAGCAGCCGGCCCAGAGUCGCUGAUCUUAAGAAGUGCUUUGAGGGUUAAGAAUCAGGGGUCCAGGAGAGACCCCAGUCCCUCAGUAAAGCCACAGGAGCCCAAAGGUGGUUUUUUCCUGGUGAAUUUCUCUGGUGCCCUCAUUCUGCUCAGAAAUCCAUCCCACCCACCUCUGUCCCUCCAAGGGCAGCCUCUCUAACUGAGUCGUAGCGGGGAAUUCCAGGAAGCCUCCUGGUCCUCUAGAAUCCCGGCAACCUUACAGUUCCUCUCGGCAUUCGUCACCUCCAUCUCAGCUAAUGCUCCCACCAGCUCAAACACACCAAUAAAGCUUUUAUUACAUCUUA